rnacentral:rRNA from 1 species
CGGAGGCAGCAGUGGGGAAUUGUUCGCAAUGGGCGCAAGCCUGACGACGCAACGCCGCGUGGAGGAUGAAGAUCUUCGGGUCGUAAACUCCUUUCGAUCGAGACGAAUGGCCCUUGGGAUAACACCCUGAGGGAAUGACGGUACCGAGAGAAGAAGCCCCGGCUAACUCCGUGCCAGCAGCCGCGGUAAUACGGGGGGGGCAAGCGUUGUUCGGAAUUACUGGGCGUAAAGGGCUCGUAGGCGGCCAACUAAGUCAGACGUGAAAUCCCUCGGCUUAACCGGGGAACUGCGUCUGAUACUGGAUGGCUUGAGUUCGGGAGAGGGAUGCGGAAUUCCAGGUGUAGCGGUGAAAUGCGUAGAUAUCUGGAGGAACACCGGUGGCGAAGGCGGCAUCCUGGACCGAUACUGACGCUGAGGAGCGAAAGCCAGGGGAGCAAACGGGAUUAGAUACCCCGGUAGUCCC